rnacentral:rRNA from 1 species
CCAUAAGACUGGGAUAACUCCGGGAAACCGGGGCUAAUACCGGAUAACAUUUUGAACCGCAUGGUUCGAAAUUGAAAGGCGGCUUCGGCUGUCACUUAUGGAUGGACCCGCGUCGCAUUAGCUAGUUGGUGAGGUAACGGCUCACCAAGGCAACGAUGCGUAGCCGACCUGAGAGGGUGAUCGGCCACACUGGGACUGAGACACGGCCCAGACUCCUACGGGAGGCAGCAGUAGGGAAUCUUCCGCAAUGGACGAAAGUCUGACGGAGCAACGCCGCGUGAGUGAUGAAGGCUUUCGGGUCGUAAAACUCUGUUGUUAGGGAAGAACAAGUGCUAGUUGAAUAAGCUGGCACCUUGACGGUACCUAACCAGAAAGCCACGGCUAACUACGUGCCAGCAGCCGCGGUAAUACGUAGGUGGCAAGCGUUAUCCGGAAUUAUUGGGCGUAAAGCGCGCGCAGGUGGUUUCUUAAGUCUGAUGUGAAAGCCCACGGCUCAACCGUGGAGGGUCAUUGGAAACUGGGAGACUUGAGUGCAGAAGAGGAAAGUGGAAUUCCAUGUGUAGCGGUGAAAUGCGUAGAGAUAUGGAGGAACACCAGUGGCGAAGGCGACUUUCUGGUC